rnacentral:lncRNA from 1 species
GUUUGUUUAAAAUAUUCAAGAACACUUAUUUUUGAAAAGAUCAUAACAUGUUAAGUGUAGAUCUAAAAGACUACACGUUUUUAACAAGAAUCAAGUUCACCAUGAUGUUUCGUAUGGAAGAAUUAGUGUUUGUUGUUGAUGAUUAUUGUUGGAAUUUUUUUUUGAAGUUGAAAAGAAAAUAAAAACAUGUUUUGAAAACAUGGGAAACCUCCAUUUUUAGGGGAAACCAUGUCAAAAUUUUUAUAAAAUUUUGACACUUAGAAAAAUAUAAGUUUUGGUGAAAUUUAUUGAUGUAGAGUGUGAAAUAUGGAUGUUCAAGUGAUUAUCUGGCAUGGCAAAACGAGUAAAUUCGGUGAAGUUACGAGGUUUAGAGAUGAAACGGAAGCAUGCGGGAAUGUUUCGGAUCGAAUAACUACUUGGAACUGAAAGAAAUAUGAAGAAUGGAAGUUCAGGGACCUUUCGGUCAUUAUCGGAAGUGAAACAUAGUGUGAUGUUUGAGCUUUAUGAAGAAUACUAAAGUUGAGGGGCCAUUAUGUAAUGAUGUGGAAGUUGCUUUGUGAGUGGAAAAGGAAGAUGAAAUCAUGAUGGGGCUUACGGUGUGAAAGCCGUAGCUUACGGUUUAUACGUGUGGAAACCAAAAAGUAACAGUAGCUUUGAACCGUCAUCUACGGUCUUAUACAGUGCACAAGGGAAUUGCCAAACAACCCAUGUUGGGAAAUCAUCAUUCAUCACAUGCGCAGACUUGGAAGAGCACCAAUUAAAAAGGAGGCCAUUGUUUGUUUUAAGAAAAGCAUUAAAUCACAACAUCAUCAUCAUCGAUUAUUUAGCCCAUUAUUAUUUUGGGAGUUAAAACUCAUCAUUAAAACAUCAUCAUUAUCAUCUACAAAAAUUUGGCAGUGAGAUAUCACACUUUUGGGCUCAAAAAUCAGCCCAACUUCAUCAUCAUUACAAUCGAUUAUUGGCAGCCAACAUGAAUUUUUUUGGGCUCUCAAAAAUCACUUUCAUCAUCUCGACAAAAGUAGCAGCCAUUUACAACAAUUUUGGGCUUCUUGGAUCUUGAUUAUUGGAGCCCAUUAUAUGAUUUAUUGGCAGCCAU